GUAGGGAAUCUUCCACAAUGGACGAAAGUCUGAUGGGGCAACGCCGCGUGAACGAUGAAGGCUUUCGGGUCGUAAAGUUCUGUUGUAAGGGAAGAACAAGUGCCGCAGGCAAUGGCGGCACCUUGACGGUACCUUGCGAGAAAGCCACGGCUAACUACGUGCCAGCAGCCGCGGUAAUACGUAGGUGGCAAGCGUUGUCCGGAAUUAUUGGGCGUAAAGCGCGCGCAGGCGGCCUCUUAAGUCUGAUGUGAAAGCCCCCGGCUCAACCGGGGAGGGCCAUUGGAAACUGGGAGGCUUGAGUAUAGGAGAGAAGAGUGGAAUUCCACGUGUAGCGGUGAAAUGCGUAGAGAUGUGGAGGAACACCAGUGGCGAAGGCGACUCUUUGGCCUAUAACUGACGCUGAGGCGCGAAAGCGUGGGGAGCAAACAGGAUUAGAAACCCCAGUAGUCC
rnacentral:rRNA from 1 species